rnacentral:lncRNA from 1 species
UCGGAUAAAUAAGCAAUUACUUGCUAUUAAUUCACAUGUUUAUAACUAUUUGUUCACAUGCAUGUACUAUUUGUUCACAUGCAUGUACUAUUAGGGGAGGUGGUGCAAGAUUGAUAAUACUUGCAUGACUAAAUUAAAAAUAGAGGUAUAGUUGAAGGUACUAUACUGUAACUAUUUUUUUCACAUGUAUAAAACUAUUGAUUCACAUGAAUGUACUAUUGAUUCACAUGAUGUACUAUUAGGGGAGGUGGUGCAAGUUUGAUAAUACUUGUAGGACUAAAUUAAAAAUAGAGAAAAAGAUGAAGGUAUUAUACUGUAAUAUUUCGAGC